ensembl:snoRNA
AGAUCAUUUUAAAGGGGGCUUGUGGGGCUGGGAAACCAGGAACUCUAAAACUGUGACCAAAGACUGAAGUUCUGCACAGGAAGCCACAGAACUCCGCAGUGCUGUUUUCCGGUUCCUUCCUAGGCAUAGGC